rnacentral:rRNA from 1 species
AGCAGCCGCGGUAAUUCCAGCUCCAAUAGCGUAUAUUAAAGUUGUUGCAGUUAAAAAGCUCGUAGUUGAAUUUCGGGAUCAAUAUGUCGGUCGUGCCUUCGGUACGUACUGGUAUCAUUGGUCUCUCCUUUCUGACGAACCAUGAUGUCAUUAAUUUGGUGUUAUGGGGAGUUAGGACUGUUACUUUGAAAAAUUAGAGUGUUUAAAGCAGGCUUUAGCUUGAAUACAUUAGCAUGGAAUAAUGAAAUAGGACGUUCGAACCUAUUUUGUUGGUUUCUAGGAUCAACGUAAUGAUUAAUAGGGAUAGUUGGGGGCAUUAGUAUUCAAUUGUCAGAGGUGAAAUUCUUGGAUUUAUUGAAGACUAACUACUGCGAAAGCAUUUGCCAAGGAUGUUUUCAUUAAUCAAGAACGAAAGUUAGGGGAUCGAAGACGAUCAGAUACCGUCGUAGUCUU